rnacentral:lncRNA from 1 species
GCAGUGGCCUUGUGUCAAUUAUUUUGAUGCAUUGGAGUAAAUAUAUAAUUCAACGCACAUGGCUACAUAAAUCCAGCUGAAGCUUAAAAAUAAUGCUGAUUAGUAUCAACACUGUUACUUAGCAGUAUUUCGUACUGUAAAUACAAAGAAAAACAGUAAAAUAAGUUGGAACUCAUCUGUUCACUGACAAAUGCAUGCUCUAAUAAAUAAUGUCGUCUGGCUGAAGUCUCUUUUUUCUGCCGUAGAAAAACAAAUUCAUACUAUUUGUACUUAAUGCUGAUACACUCUGCUCUCUGAAUACUAAGUUGCUAUGUAUUUACAAAUGUGAAAGAACCUGUGGUCCUUUUAUGCAUCAGGUCGUCAUAGAAACUAAUUAACUUUCAUUUCUGUGUCAGGGUAAAGUACUGUAAUACAGAUGUAAAUUGUAGUUCAGGAAUUAUUUGAAUGAAACUAGAAGGAGGAAAGCAUCAAAGUCCUUUUAAAAAAUCCAGUAGAAAUGAGAAAUGCACAACACAUCAUAGCACACAAUGCAUCACAACAUAAUAAAAUGCUAAUAAGGUGGCAGAAAGAGGAUGCUCUACAUCAAUAUGGUACUUGUGGUAAAUAUGUAGAAAGGAGUUCGUAUGUGUGCAGUCCACAAGAUAGUACAAUUACAGCAGUUGGAAUUAUUCAGCUGAUAAAUCAGUUCCAGAAGCUCUGAUUCAGAGGAUUAAGAAGUAGGUAUGUAAUAAGGUGAGAUGCACAUACUGUCCAUGAGCCAAGCUACCAUGUAACCAAGACCAUGGGGGGUUAGAAUCGAUUUUCUUACAGAGCUGUUCUCCAUACUCCAUGGCAAGCUGCUCUUGAAUCUCUUGGAGGCCAGAGCUCUAUCAAGAGGUUAAAAGAUAAGGAGUGACAAAAGAAGACAGAGAGGAGAAAGUUACAGUAGUCAAGAGAUGAGGCAGGAUCAGUGUGUGAACCAUAAUUUUUAACGUGGGGGUGAUUUUGACCAAAACCUGGUGUAGAGGGUGGAGCCAGAGUUGGAACAGCAGCUGAUGCAAGUGCUGAGAUAGGGAGAUCUAGGACUGAUCUGUGGAGUUAUGGAAGAGAAGCAUUAAUCAGCCCCAAAGGGAGCUUUUAGGCCAGGAAAACCCAGAAGAAAGCAGAUGAAAAGGUUCUCUAUGAAAACACUGAGUGAGAGAUGUUAGCAUUUCCUUGACCCAACUUCACUUCAAACCAAAUGCCCCUAAGACUAAAUAGUAAAUUGCAUUUUUGUCCUGUAUUUCCUCUGAGUAUCUCAGAGCAGUAUAAAUAGUAUCCCUUCUCAUUUUGUCCUCGGAAGAACUUUGUACAGAAAGUUAGGCUGAGAGAAGUAGACCUGUCCAAUACAGUGACUGAAUAGGAUUUGAAUCUGGAUCUUUCCAGUAUGUUCCUGACAUUAUGGCUGAAAUUACACCACUCUGACUCCUCUUCCACUCCCACCUACAUGUUCACCUUGUUGUUUCUGCUGUAACAGCUGGUGUAGCUGCAGGAAGUGAGGGGGAUUUAGAAUUCUCAGGAAGAAAACUUUCUCCAGUAUCCUUCAUAAAUCCCUGAUUCAAAUCAAGCCUAGGGAAAUUUGCCCAGGGAAAUUCACCUCCUACGAUUAGGAAUAGAACCCAAGGACGGGGGGCUGAAAACCUAGGCCAUGAAAGGAGUCAGUUAGGAGAGCGUGAUCAGUUUCACAAAAAACAACCUGGAGUUUUAGGAAGGAUGCCAAUGGAGAUAACGGGUGAUUCUGGUGAGGACUGUUACUUUUGCGUGUGUAGGGAACACAAACCAGAUUGAAAGUGAGUGUUAGAAACACAGUUCAAUGCACCCUACACAGUGGGUGGGUGAGUUAGACCUAAGGCAAAAGUCAGGUAGAGAAAGCAGGAGGCAGCUAGGUCAGAUCUCUGACAGUAAUAUUGAAAUCUACAAGAAGUAUGCUUGAAGUAUGUUUAAGGAACUCAUGAUGGCUCAGUCAGUAGAGCAUGAGACUCUUAAUCUCCGCGUUGUGGAUUCAAGCCCCACGUUGGGCAAAAGAUUCCUGCUCUGCAGAAGGUUGGAGCCUCCAGGUCUCUUUCAACUCCACAAUUCUAUGAAUGGGCACAUGGAGUAUGGUGAGAAGCUGGCCCAUGUUUCAGGACUGAAACAAAAGUUGAGAGGGUGCCAGGGAGAUGCAGAAGGGAGUAGAGACUGAUGUUUGAGAAGAAAUCUGUUAGUGGUGGGGUGGGGAGGAUGUUGGGUUGAGCUUGUGGUGGUUGUUUUUUACAGGGGUCAGUACCACUUCCAAGACCUUUAGCAUGAUGCAUGCGGGAGAAAUGAUGUCAAAGAAGAGAACAGCAAUAACUGCAGGGUCAGAGGCAGAGAGCCUGAUUUUGUUGAGGGCAAGGGAAGGGAUUGAGAGAGAAAAGCUUGGUGGAGGUUGACUGCUCUCUGGGAAGAAGAGAAAGGAGGGGAAAUGCAUUGAAUGGGCAUGGGAUUGGAGCAGAGUGUGAGUACAUGUCGUUAUGCUAGAUGCAAACCGCGAGAAAUUUAGGGAUAGUGCAGGGUUGGGUAGACUAGUACGCCCAAGGAAUAAAAAAAGGUCUCAUAGAAAGAGAUGGAAGUUUUGGGAGUCAUAGAUACAGUGAAGUCAAUCUCCUGGAGUAUGUGGGCCUCUCAGUAGCUGUCUCUUUUAGGAAGGCGUACCUCAAGGUAGUUACAAGAGUUAAAUAGGUGGAGUGGAAGGAGCAGCGGCUAGCAGCUGCAAGCUACUUUCUUCUUGAUGCCUUCUCACUGCAGAGUCCAAGGUCUGAAAUCUCCUGGUCACAAACAAGAGAUGUUCUUUAGUAGUGUUUUGACAGCUGCCCAAGACUGGGUUGAGAGACAGUGACAGCAGACAAUGUGUUCUUCGCAUUCCAGAAUAAAAGGAACGAGGGCAGGAGAGACCAGAUGUUAGUUUAUUGAGAAUCUAAGAAUUUAAGAAGUUCCUUGCUGGAUGAGACGAAAGGGCUACCCUGAUCAACGCAAUUGUUCCAAUCUGUAACCAACUAAGUGGCUUUGAAAACCCUUCAUGGCAUGAAGAUUAUGGUUAUUGCCUGUUAACCAAUCAGCUUUUGGUGAAUUUUGUUUCCAGCCGCAUUUUUAGUUCAGUUCUGUGUGGAUUUGCUUUUACUGUGUCGCUGCAAAAUCUGGUAGAGGUGUUAUUCAAACCAGCAACAAGAGCAUUAUUUUUGCUUUACAUUAGUCAAGCAACCAAGAUGAGAAUAAAUAAGUUGUUUAGAAUAAAUAAGUUUAAUGAAGUUGUUUUUAUCAGCAGUUUUUAGCCAAGAGGGGUGUGGAUGAGGCGCAUAUCUGCCUGGACCAUGUGGGUGAAGCAUGAAUUACAGCCCAUGUUCAUUUUCAGAUUGGUAUAGAUGCGAAGUGACUUUAAUAAUUAUAAAUACAAACACUUGGAAAAUACAUUGUGGUGCACGAAGCCACAAGGAUUAUGUUGAAACUUCCCAUAAGGCUAUUUAACAGAUUUCCCCCCUGCAGUAAAAUCCUUUUUCACCUGAUUUAUAGCAUUUGCGACUCUGAGCCCCUGUAUUUUCUCUGAACAAGUUGCACAGUGCACAUAGUAGACAAAGUGUUAAAGAGCUAGGAAAAUAUUAUUUCAUCACUCCUGUUCCAUUAGAAUUCACUUGGGUGGCUGAGAAAAUGGUUUAUGGAUUAGAGAAAGAAGAACAAGCUAAAACAUUUCAUACCUUCAUCUCUGAUAAAUUCCCCAAACUCAUUUUUCGCAUCUGAGCUAUAAAUAACAACCAUACUUUUUGCUAAAAAGAGCUUUUUUCCUAUCCUAGGUCUUUUGUCUUGGAGAUGAAUGCUAUAAUAAAUUUGCAGUCUUGGGGGGAGCAUUGCUUGAACUAUAACAGCAAGGUUUACAACUGUUGCUUGUAUUAUGAGGCAGAUAAAAAACAACUGUGGAGCUUGAUCUUUGUCACGGAAAUGGAUUAAGAUUUCAACCUUCAGCUUGGGUCAAGUGUAUGAUCUUGCCCAAAGCACCCUGCAAUUUAAACACUGUAUGUGCGAUUCUAUUCUUAAACCCAAUUCUUCCCUCUUUAAAUUCUCCCAAGAUACAAAAGUUUGUGGUCUUCUGCAUGGAAUCAAAGGCAGAAAUGUCAUAUAAAAUUAAGAAAUCUGUUUUGGGAGUACAUCUUUUCAUUACUAAGCUGGCUGUAGAUCAACUAUAUUUGGUGACUGUUGGUGACACUUCAUUGAAUAAGUGCUAAGGAAAUGCUUGGAAAUUCAUUCUAGAUUUUUCAGUAGACAGGUUAGUAAACUGACUGCUAUCUUCUUCCAGGUUUGGUGUUUUCACAUGUCAGGAAAUAGGCUUUUGGGAACCCUCUGUUGGACAGAACCAGACCAGUUUUGUUAUGUGCAAGUGCACCUUCGAAAACAUGGUUUAGCAGGACAAUCGUAUGCAUUUCUACUAAAUGCAAGCAAGCUUCAUAGAGUUUGCUGUGACUUGCUCCCAGAUAUGUGUAGAUAGCAUUGCUGCCCUUUUUCUUUUUAGCAGUAGUUAGUUCAGCAUCUGCUCUUAUAAAUGCAUAAUAUUUGCUUUAAAGAUUAAACAAUAACUUUAGUUUCCAUGUUUAACAAAUAUAGGCAAACAUCUUGACUUUGUGUGUUAAUAAACAAAUUAAUUUUUCAUCAUCACCAGAUUCAUUUUUGUGAACCAAAAUACUUUAUCUGUGCAGUAAAAAAAGAUGGUAUAAAACUAUACUGUAUAAUUCAGAUCCUCUUGUAUUUGGCUUGUAUAUGAAAAAACACAAUGCAGUCUUAGCAUCAAAGAUCAUAUGGGAUAGCUAAAGUUCCCCAAAUAUGGGGAAGGGAGGGUCUGUGUAUUUACUAUGGAGCAGUGAUUUGAAAAAUUGAUACUUUUUGUGAACUGUUUUCACAUUUACUUGAUUUCUGAAGAACUCCUGUGUGAGGUAAAGCAUACCAACAGCAUCUUCUGAGGUAGGAUUGUUUUUCAUGAAGCUUUGGUCAGGCCUGCUAAAAAAUGCCCAUGAACUUAGAGUAUCUCCCCAAACACAUAAGAACAUAAGAAGAGCCAAUGGCCCAUACAGUCCACAGUGGCCAACCAGAUGUACGUGGGAAGCCCCAAGCAGGGCAUGAAACAUCCAGCAUUGUAGACAGUGCCUCAGAGGUGAAGACUUGUAAUGGUGGGGAAACUGUCUUUGGGUGAUUAAUAUUUUCCGCACUGCAGUACCUGAUAUGCAACCAAAUUCUCCUUACCAAUACAAACAGCCAAACCUUUCCAGUAUGACAAGAUCACCAUGGGAUAGCUUGGUCACCUGUGUGAACUCCUUCUUAGAAGCAUAUCUUUUUAAUGAGGGGCUAUCCCCCCACCUUUUUUAAAGAAGCUUUUUAUUAAAAGUUUUCAACAAAAAUACAGUAAAAGUCAAACUAGUCUG